UAACUUUGAACUGAGCAGGCAAUGCAGCGCAUGAGGCCGGGCCCGAGAGGCAGCAGAUUGAAACAACAAACAUCUGCGGGACAGUA
rnacentral:ncRNA from 13 species